UAAGUGACGAAGCGUGCAGGGUGGAUGCCUAGGCAGUCAGAGGCGAAGAAGGACGUGCUAAUCUGCGAAAAGCGUGGAGGAGUUGAUAAGAAGCGUUAUUACUCCACGAUAUCCGAAUGGGGAAACCCAGUAGAUGAAGAAUCUACUAUUGUUAACUGAAUCCAUAGGUUAACAAGGCGAACCGGGAGAACUGAAACAUCUCAGUACCCCGAGGAAAAGAAAUCAACCGAGAUUCUGUAAGUAGCGGCGAGCGAACGCGGAAGAGCCGUUAGUGAUAGUAAGUGUGUUAGGAGAAUGUGUUGGGAAGCACAAUCGCAGAGGGUGAUAAUCCCGUAUCCGAAGGCGCAUUUAUGGUACUAAGCUAACACGAAGUAGGGCGGGACACGAGAAAUCCUGUUUGAAGAUGGGGGGACCAUCCUCCAAGGCUAAAUACUCCUGACUGACCGAUAGUGAACCAGUACCGUGAGGGAAAGGCGAAAAGAACCCUGGUGAAGGGAGUGAAAUAGAACCUGAAACCCUGUACGUACAAGCAGUGGGAGCCCUAUCACUAAGCAAAGUGAUGGAAUAGCGCACUGAGUCUUUUGUUUAAAGAGCGGUUGACGGAACGUAGUGACGUCAAACCCCAAAAAAUAAACAGAGGGUGCUUAGUGAUAGGGUGACUGCGUACCUUUUGUAUAAUGGGUCAGCGACUUAUAUUAUGUAGCGAGGUUAACCGAAUAGGGGAGCCGAAGGGAAACCGAGUCUUAACUGGGCGAAUAGUUGCAUGAUAUAGACCCGAAACCCGGUGAUCUAGCCAUGGGCAGGUUGAAGGUUGGGUAACACUAACUGGAGGACCGAACCGACUACUGUUGAAAAAGUAGCGGAUGACUUGUGGCUGGGGG
rnacentral:rRNA from 1 species